rnacentral:rRNA from 1 species
UGACGGGGGGGGGCAAGCGUUGUUCGGAUUCAUUGGGCGUAAAGGGUGUGUAGGUGGCGCGCUAAGUCGGGUGUGAAAUUUCGGAGCUUAACUGCGAAACUGCAUUCGAUACUGGCGUGCUUGAGGACUGGAGAGGAGACUGGAAUUCAUGGUGUAGCAGUGAAAUGCGUAGAGAUCAUGAGGAAGACCAGUGGCGAAGGCGGGUCUCUGGACAGUUCCUGACACUGAGACACGAAGGCCAGGGGAGCAAACGGG